GCACUUCUUACAUUGAGGCAGCAAGAGAAAAAUGAGAAAGAAGCAAAAGCGGAAACCGCUGAUGCACCCAUCAGAUCUCGUAAGACUUAUUCACUACUUUGAGAAUAGGACAGAAAAGACCGGCCCCCAUAAUUCAAUUACCUCCCCCUGGGUCCCACCCACAACAUGUGGGAAUUCUGAGAGAUACAAUUCAAGUGGAGAUUUGGGUGGAGACACAGCCAAAACAUAUCAGCCAUCAUCGCAGGUUCAACAAAAAGCUAGUUUAGGAAAAUGCUCAAAUUGAGAUAAUCUGAAAUAUCCCCUUUCCUACCACAUGUCCAGCGCAUUCUCUCACCGGAGAGUACGACUUAGGUGGCAGGGGCUGCCCCAGCCUCACCUCCACUAGUCUUCCUAUAUGCAGACAAGAAGACAGAAGAAGGGAAAGGGAACUGAGAAUGCAGGCAAGAGAUAAGAUUGUUUGUCAAGAAAAACCCCAAUACUGAUCAUAUCUAUGGAGCCACAAGUGGAAGCCAAAAAUGGUCUUCCCAGUGUGUUACUCUCUGGGAGGUGUUCUUAUCUUCCAGCAUCUACUCCCUUCUAGUUAUCUGAUUGCGUUGUAACAAAUCUUUAUGACAAAAGUGGAAUGCUCUUUCUCCCUCCCUUUCCCCACCUCCCCUUUGGUAUGUGAUGGUAGACAGUAUAGUGACUUCGAGUGUUUAACUGUGCAUGCUUUUUCUCCAUUGUCUAAACAUCCCCCGGGAACCUUGACAUCAGUUUCACCUCUCCUCUGGGGCUGAGAGAUGGAAAGAAGGGUCAGGAACUUGAACAGAAAUCCAGCCCUCAGUACAUUUCAGUAAGAUGGCUGGCAGUUUCUGAAUGAAGUAGACAACUGAAGGUCUGUGUCCACACACAGUCAGGUAAGAGACCCUGAUUUUUAAAAAGUCUCCUUCUCCCUCUCUACUUGUUUGGAAUAGUAAUUGGAUGAUAACAAAUUCAAGCUUUUGCUAUUGACUAAACAUGUGAAGUACAGGCUCUAAAAUCUCAUCAAGAUCACCAUUAGGUUCAUGGUAGAAAAAUAUGGGAUGCCAGGAAUGUUGCCUGUUGGACUCUCUUGAAUGGCUUACGUCUCUCUCUCACAUUUGGAAUGGAUAUACACAUCAGAUCCUAGUCCUGCAGUGGCCUAGGGAUGGCUCCCUUUGAUUUGGAUAAAUUACUGCAUUUGCGGAAGUUCUCGGAAAGUCCUUAUGUCAAGCAAAUGAGUUACUGGUACUUGUGGGAUGAAUAUUAUUCUAAGAGGAAACUUAAAAGUGAUUUAGAUAACCAGAGAGAAAGACUGAAACAAAAAAAUAGAACAGGAAAUACAAGAAUUAAGAGCACUUUCUCUUUCACAGAAACCUCUUCCAUUGAUUAUUCUUGUUCCCUCCGUUCCUGCUGCCUCACUUUAUCCCUCCUUGUCUCAGAUUGACUCCUGGAAAGGGAUGCGUGAUGAGCUUUUAGACAAGUGGUUUCCCUCCUUAGCGGGUUCCAUGAGAAGAGAAAAAAGGAUGCCACUUUUCCAGCUGCAAAUGAGUUACCGCCCUGUUUGAGUACGUAGAAUUGACUGCCCCCUGGCCUAUCCCCAAGUCCACUUCUUGCCUUAGACCAGAUUUCACCUCCAGGGACCCCUUCUCAUCCACACACCAUUUAGCUAGAAAGGUGAAAAAGAUAAAAUUAAAUAAUCAAGAUCCUGGAAUAAUUGAGAACUCAGAUAAAAGACUAUGUCCCUGUAUGAAGGCAGCAGGAUGGAGAGUUACUUGGAAAAAGACAAACAAAAAGGUAUUAGGUUCAUAAAUAUACCAGUAUGGAAAAACAAACCAAGAUGCCAUAUAAUCCUACCUUUUUCCUAUCUUAAUGCAAAGAAAACCAAUCCUUUUUACUCAGAUCACCAGCAAAUCUGAUGCCACUGAGAAGCCCCCCGGUUCCCUUGGAUGCAAAGGAAACAUUUAGCACCUAUGUGCUCUUCUCUCCUGCCGAUAUCAUCCAUCUAAAGGACUUUUCCUGUACCCCGGGAAGAUACACAAAAGUUUGCAGAAAUGCUCCACAGCUUGUUUUUAGUUUACAGCCCUGCACAUAGGGAUGUGCACUGACUUGAGUCUUGUGGGGAAUCCUGCAACCAGCCCAUUUUGCUUGUUUGAGGACCUGGAGAUGAUCCACCACCUAAGGUGGCACUGUGACCAGAGGAAAUUGAUUACCACUCCCUACAACUACAGAACUGAGCAUGUUAGAGAUCCAUCCAGAGCGGCUGCUAGCAGCAGUACUUGAAGCCUUUCCACUAAUGGUUUUCUUUUAAAGGUGUCAGAAGUAGCAUCUGAAAUAGAGCUUCCAGUGACCCCCAGGAGCAUCAAGUAACCAAGCAAGGUACCUGCUGGCCCCAUUGUGUUCAUUGUUUUCUCACAGCAACUGGGAAUCAUGGGUAAGCUCUCUUGGAUUCUAUAGCUACAUGGAUUUGUGUUUUGAGCUACCUGAGCUUGUUAGAGCACAUUUUUAUCCGAACUGUGUUCUGGAGUUUACAAUGAAAACUGACUGGGUCUAGGAUCAGAUUGGAUCUGAUAAUUAACUGCUUGCAUCCAGUUAGUUGUUUGGCUGUCUGACUGUGCAAGACAGGAACUAACAGUGCAUUGCAAUUCUGCAGGGCGUCAAAUGUUCGGCUUUCAGAAAUUUGUCAGAUUUUUUGUGUCCUAUCCCCUUAAUUGUUGUUGUUGUUGUUGUUGUUGUUGUUGUUUAUCUGGCACUGUUAGGUAGGAGAAAAUUCAUUGGCUAAGUUGAUCAACGGGAUCUAAAUGGUCAAGGUAAAAAUGGGAUUCUUAAUUUCUGAAGAACUGAAUACUCCCCCUUCUGGCUAUGCCUACAUUUACAUGUAUAAGUAUUAGGCCCUAGAAACAGCAAAUGCUUACAAAAAUGGUGAAAUGUUACUAAAGAUAUUUUAAAAUUACAGUGGAAUGUUCCAAAUGAAAAACAUUGUGCUUUAAAAAGUGCAUUUAAAAAUGAAAGCUCCCAAAUUAGGCUAACCCAGGGAUGCCUAUUUAUGUGCAGAAGCUUCUAAAAAGGUUUCAACAUUUUUAUUACCUCUUUUAAAAGACUCUUUAUAAAAGGCAAAUAAAAACCUUAGGCAACUAAUUGAUAAGAAAAAUUAAAUCUGCUACCAUUUUGGCUUAAUAACUAUUCCACCGCCAAAAGUAAAAAGAAAGCCAUCCUGGAUAAAGGGUUUAUAAAAUACAGGGCCUCAGGUAAAGUAGGUUUGCUUCUUUUUCAGAGCUAUUCGUGCUGAGUCCAGACAUACAGAAUGCUUUCUUUGCCCUAUUUCUCAAUGUACUCCACCCUGAACUUGGUAAUUUUAGCGAAGAAACAGUAGCUAAGUUAAAAAAAAAAAAAAAAAAACCUGCCUAUUGAACUAAAUCAUUCUCAAAAAUACACCUUUCUGACAUUUAGCUGGCUGCUUUGAAAUGCUUUUGUAAAUAAAAUUUACAUCUAUAAAGGAAAUCUUCAUUUGUAAGGGUGUCUGCCUCUGUGCACUUGGAAAAGAGGGAGGACUGAGUCACUAGAAACUCCUAUCAUUGGUUUAAAUUUAUAGAACAAAUCUUACCUUUGUUUAAGGUGUUUUUCUUCCCAUCUUGUCUUAACUAGGCCUUUACCUACAUCCUGAUUCUUGGUUUGGGCAAAUUAUGGUACAAUAUUUAGGUCAGAAGUCUCAGUUCUCUGAUUUUUGAGAUAGAAAUUUCCUACCUUAUUUUACUUAAGAGUCAUCCCAUUAGAAAUGCAAAUCUAGGGUUGCCUAGCUAACAAUUGCUUAGAACGAUGGAACAGAUAAUUGGAAGAUUGAUUGUCACAACGGGGAAAAUAGAAAAACUGUUUGAGAGCUGGCAAAUGAGAAUCUUUAUGAAAGCUAUAAAAUUUGCUUCUGUCAUGUGUGUCUGUAUGUCUAUAUGUGUUAUGUGUAUGUAAUAAUAUUUGAUUUAGAAAACUAAUUUUAAAAGUAUUGGUAAAAUAAAAUAGUAUUGGCUUCAGAAUUGUCAGUUAAAUAUAAUACAGACAUUUUUGCCUGGAUCUACUGGUCAGACAGAUUUAUGUUGUCUCCAUGACAUGUUUUAAAGUUAUGAAACGAUAUCUUUGACAUUUGCCUAAUUUGUCUGUUAGCUAAAGCUGUAAGGCACAGAUGCUGGGCUACAUUGAAGCCUUGCACAUGUCUUACUGUGAGCUUGUUUUUUUAUUUUGAGCCUCUGGAUUCUGGGAUCUGGACAGGUUGUUACAAUAGGUAGCUAGUAAGAUAUGAGCAGAGAGGGAGAGCCCUCCCUCCCCCAACCUGAAUGUCAGGUGAUUAUCAAGUGAUGGUCAGGUGGUUGUUAACUGUCUCUCUAAAACACUAAUUGGUUGCAGCCAGUGCCAAGGAAAGGCAGUUCAUAGAUAGAAAAACCUGAAACUGGUGAUCAGCAGCUUCCCGAUAAGAUCUCAGGAGUUGGGCGUGCAUUAAGAGGCAAAAUGGCAGAAUUUAACUGGUGUAUGACUUUCUAGGGACGUUUGAUAAGGGAAGAGUGCCUCAGGUGAGCAUGCAUACAUCUCCAGUAAACACACUGCACAUGCUCCUCUCCCGAGUGCUAGCAGGCCACUGCUCAUGCGGACAGCCAACCCAAAGGAAGAAUAACAGAAGAAGGGAUGCAAGACCCCAGAAGUAUGCCAACAUAUAAAACCCCAAGUCAAAGGUCGAAUCAUGCACCUGAUCUCUCAAGUCAUCUGCUUGGCCCUUUUCCAAAUAUAGAGGGUCAAGUAUUUCCAAAUGUAUUUUAUUUCCUUUUGUUCCUGCUGUAAAGUUUUUUAACAAACUUCACUCCUGCUUUAAAACUUGCCUCUCUCUCCUUCUGCCUUAUGCCCUUGAGUCAAAUUCUUUCUUCUGAGGAGGCAAGAAUUGAGGCUGAUGCAGACCCACAUGGAUUCACUGCUGGUAACAAGGUGACCAUGGUGAGGCCUGGGAAUAUGUCCUCAGUGCCUGGACCACUCUCUGCAAAGCAAAGCCAACCUCCAAUGGCACAUUCUCCCUGAACCAGUGUUGCCAGCUGGCCAUGCCAGGAGGGGUUUGAUCCUCCAGGUAUCAUCUUCACAGUUGUCCUCUGUCCUGACCUCUACACCUGAGACGAGGUCUCACUAGGUUGCCCAGGCUGCUCUUGAACUCCUGGGUUCAAGAGAUCCACCCACCUCAGCCUCCCAAAGUCCUGGGAUUAGAGGUGUGAGCCACCGUGCCCAGCCCUGAUGCAUUUUCUGAAAGCUCUUCAGAAGCAAAUAAAUUGCUAAAGUAUUGUGUCUCCUAAAAGGUUCAUGGAAAGGAUAGAAAGGACCCUGAUAUCAUUUACACUGGAUAAAGGAAGCUUUUCAUGAUGGACUAACUGAAGACAAUGAAACUCUUUAUGAUCUAGAACCUGGAGACUGAGGCUUCUAAAAACAUCAGAAAAAGACUGCCCUGCUACCUACACUGCAGCAAUAGAAUCUUUGGUCCAUGGAGUCACUCAUGCUAAAUGUGACAUAAUCAAACUGAAACUGUAUGGAAGCAGAUAGAUCCCAAAACA